GGUCCGUUGGUGUAAUCCGGCAGCACACCUGGUUCUCAGCCAGACGGUAGGAGUUCAAAUCUCCUACGGACUA
rnacentral:tRNA from 1 species